UCAAAUUUGGGCCAAAUGUUGUGAUCCCGCCUCCGUGGGCUGUUGAGUCAUACUAGCCGGGCCGCGGUGAUUCAUCCCCGGCUUCCGCCUCCACCCAGAGACAGCAGACAGCGCAUCAUUACCUGAGGUUCAACAGGGCACGGAUGGCACGCUGUCCCUCUCCGCCGCCGUGGGGAGUCAAAUGAGCCACCCAACCAUCGGAGGAGCACACUUCCCUCGGCUGGAUUUGGCGUAGCGAGGACGUCCUCGUCACCGUCGGUGUACCAUCAACAAAAAAAAGCAGCUGUGAGCGGUGACUAAAUGCGCCUUUCCUGUGGUUAGCGGUGCAGUCGGAGGGAAAAUGGGACACGGGGAGGAGCACUUCCAGACACGACCCCUCGAGGUUUGAAAAAGUCAGGAAAUUUGAAGCGUGAAGAAGAUGUGAAAGAGCAAGCGUGGAUGCCGCAGCGAGACGCCGGCGUGCAUCCGAACUCUGAGGUUCCUCAUCGCUCAGCAUAUUUCCUUUCAAUGCUCCUCCAAAGUCGUUCCUUUGCGGCAGCCGUCUACGUCGGUGUCCUCGGUCAACUGUUCCAUCUCCAUCAGCCGGACUGAGUGAAAGCAGCUUUCUGCGCAUAUCCUGCUGAACAUGAUGUAGCCUCUUUAAUGACCAGAGCUCAUCGGCCUUGAAAACUAGAUCAGUUCACAAAGUGAAUCCGUCUCUGUGGCUUAAUGACGCAAUAAAUAUAUAAAUAACGAUUGCAGAAAAGCUUAAUGCAAUUGCAAAGUAAACCCUUUGGUAAAUUAGGUUUUUGUUGUUGUUUUGGAAAUGGGUGGAAGAUGCAUAGCUGGCGUAUGUCUUCAACAUGAAAUCACUUUUCAUGUUUAAAAGCAACGUUGAUGUUCUAACUAAGAAGCUUGUUCCUGGGCUUAUAUUUAUAAGCAUUCAUGCUCUUUUCGCUUUGAUACCGUUUGUUCCAAUACUUCUAUUAAAAGAUAUCAAACUGUC